GACGAACGCUGGCGGCGUGCUUAACACAUGCAAGUCGAACGGAAAGGCCCUGCUUUUGUGGGGUGCUCGAGUGGCGAACGGGUGAGUAACACGUGAGUAACCUGCCCUUGACUUUGGGAUAACUUCAGGAAACUGGGGCUAAUACCGGAUAGGAGCUCCUGCUGCAUGGUGGGGGUUGGAAAGUUUCGGCGGUUGGGGAUGGACUCGCGGCUUAUCAGCUUGUUGGUGGGGUAGUGGCUUACCCAGGCUUUGACGGGUAGCCGGCCUGAGAGGGUGACCGGCCACAUUGGGACUGAGGGACGGCCCAGACUCCUACGUGAGGCAGCAGUGGGGAAUAUUGCACAAUGGGCGGAAGCCUGAUGCAGCAACGCCGCGUUCGGGAUGACGGCCUUCGGGUUGUGAACCGCUUUCGCCUGUGACGAAGCGUGAGUGACGGUAAUGGGUAAAGAAGCACCGGCUAACUACGUG
rnacentral:rRNA from 1 species